UCGGGAAUCUUGUACAAUGGGCGAAAGCCUGAUGCAGCAACGCCGUGUGAGUGAGGAAGGCCUUAGGGUCGUAAAGCUCUGUUGUUGGGGACGAAGGGCGAAGGGUUAAUAGCCCCUAGCCUGACGGUACCCUUCGAGGAAGCCCCGGCUAACUACGUGCCAGCAGCCGCGGUAAUACGUAGGGGGCGAGCGUUGUCCGGAAUUAUUGGGCGUAAAGAGCGUGUAGGCGGCCUGGUAAGUCUGCCGUGAAAACCUGGGGCUCAACCCUGGGCGUGCGGUGGAUACUGCUAGGCUAGAGGAUGGUAGAGGCGAGUGGAAUUCCCGGUGUAGCGGUGAAGUGCGUAGAUACUGGUAGGAAUACCCAUUGCGAAGGCAGCUCACUGGACAGUACGUGACGCUGAGGUGCGAAAGUGUGGGGAGCAAACCGGAUUAGAUACCCGUGUAGUCC
rnacentral:rRNA from 1 species